rnacentral:rRNA from 1 species
CCUACGGGUGGCUGCAGUGAGGAAUAUUGGUCAAUGGGCGCGAGCCUGAACCAGCCAAGUCGCGUGAAGGAAGACGGUCCUAUGGAUUGUAAACCUCUUUUGUCGGGGGGCAAAAGACGCCACUCGUGGCGUUCUGAGAGUACCCUAAGAACAAGCACCGGCUCACUCCGUGCCAGCAGCCGCGGUAAUACGGAGGAUGCGGGCGUUAUCCGGAUUUAUUGGGUUUAAGGGGUGCGCAGGCGGAAGAUCAAGUCAGCGGGAAAAUGGAGUGGCUAAACCGCUUCGAGCCGUUGAAACUGGUUUUCUUGAGUGCGUGAGAAGUAGGCGGAAUGCGUGGUGUAGCGGUGAAAUGCAUAGAUAUCACGAAGAACUCCGAUUGCGAAGGCAGCAUACCGGCGCUCAACUGACGCUCAUGCACGAAAGUGUGGGUAUCGAACAGGAUUAGAUACCCCUGUAGUC